GCCCUUUAAUCUGUAAUUUAUUAAUCAUUAAACAUUAUUACAUUAUUCAUACUGGUGAACAAAGACCACUUCUACAGAGGGACGUUCACAACAUACAUAUUACAUUUUUAUAUACAGUGCAGUGCAUUACAGUGGAUCGUUAUAUGUGUAUUACCGGGAUGAAGGGAUGGGGGAGACUGGAAGGGGAGGAGAAGUUAGAGGAAAAAGGGAGGAGUGGUUUGAGGGAGGGGGGGGUUGUGAUAGUAAGUAGUCUUUUUUUUAUUACUUCUUCUUUUUUUAACCACAGUACAGUUUGUUCUAUAAAAGUUAAACCCAUAGAGAGAGAGAGAGAGAGAGAGUAAGAGAGUAAGAGAGAGAGAGAGAGAGUGCCACAUUUUCACAGCUACUGUAAGGUGAACCUACUGGACUCUUGUGGGAAUAUCAAAUGAGAUACAUUUUGUCAUGAGAUGCUAUAGAGAGAUGCUAUAAAACAUUCUAAGAUAGUCAACCUCCUCCCGGAGUGUGGAGACCCUGGAGGGCAGGCCAAAGGUCAAAGAUCAGAUCAGCGUGCAUGCGUGCUGCAGACAUUCAGACGUGUUCAGCCAUCUACAAAAAUGGCCGACCCCCACCGCUUUUCCUCCUUCUAUGUUUAGGCAUCAUUUUUGGUGCUUUCCCUUUUUAUAUAUAAAAAAUACAAAACAUAACAGCGAAAAGAAUUCAGUUGGUUGUCCCAUUUUUCUCCUUUUU